rnacentral:rRNA from 1 species
AUUGAACGCUGGCGGCAGGCCUAACACAUGCAAGUCGAGCGGAGCGGCGGACGGGUGAGUAAUGCCUAGGAAUCUGCCUUGUAGUGGGGGAUAACGUCCGGAAACGGGCGCUAAUACCGCAUACUAUCAGAUGAGCCUAGGUCGGAUUAGCUAGUUGGUGGGGUAAAGGCCUACCAAGGCGACGAACCGGAACUGGUCUGAGCGGAUGAGCAGUCAACCGGGAACAUAGAAACGGACCAGACGCCUAGGGGAGGAAGGAGGGGGGAAGAUGGGACAAUUGGAGAAAGCCUGAACCAGCCAUGCCGCGUGUGUGAAGAAGGUAUGAGGAUUGUAAAGGACUAUAAGUUGGGAGGCGGUAGCAACAGAAUAAGCACCGGCUAACUUCGUGCCAGCAGCCGCGGUAAUUC